rnacentral:rRNA from 1 species
CAGUCGCCGCGGUAAUACCGAGGGUGCGAGCGUUAAUCGGAAUUACUGGGCGUAAAGCGUGCGUAGGCGGCUUGUUAAGUCGGAUGUGAAAUCCCUGAGCUUAACUUAGGAAUUGCAUUCGAUACUGGGAAGCUAGAGUAUGGGAGAGGAUGGUAGAAUUCCAGGUGUAGCGGUGAAAUGCGUAGAGAUCUGGAGGAAUACCGAUGGCGAAGGCAGCCAUCUGGCCUAAUACUGACGCUGAGGUACGAAAGCAUGGGGAGCAAACAGGAUUAGAUACCCCUGUAGUCCCUGUCUCUUAUAC